rnacentral:sRNA from 1 species
UUCGUGAACUUUCACGGUGCUACUCGCAGC